GGGGUUGACCGGAUUCGACGGGGUGAUUGGUUGCAGUGUAAGCAUGUGGUGCCUUGGAGGCCGGCACCUUAAACUCAACCUUCAAACCAUUAAGAGGCGAAUCUAACUUUGCCUUGGCUGCUUAAUCGGAAUGAUUGAGUAAUUGCCAACUAUCUCGAAUGACUCUAUCUGAGCCGUUGUUCACCAGAGAUAGUCGACCCGCUCAGGUAUGACCCCCAAAUUCAACGCAAGGGCUCAUUAUACAGUUGAAUAAGGAAUAAUGUUGGCCUGGGGCGAGCCGGCUUAUUCCCGAAACCAAUCGCUCCUAAACAUGUAGAAAGCGCUCGUAAUUGCAUGACCGGACGGGGGUUCGAUUCCCCCCAAUUCCACUC
rnacentral:tmRNA from 1 species